rnacentral:tRNA from 1 species
AAGGAUUUAAGUUAAGUUAAACUUAUAACCUUCAAAGUUAUUAAUAAAGUAAAUUCUUUAAGCCUUA